GCCACAGCCAGGAGAUGUUGCAGCCUCUCGGAAUGAUGACAUCAUCUAUUUUGAGGCUUCACCUCAAGUCCUUCCAAGCAGGAAGAGAAAAAGAGACAAAAUUUGAGAUUGCAAAAUACAUUCAACUUGUAACUUCCAGCGUGUACCAGUCAUACAGUACAAUGUCGGGAUCAUAAACAGCCACAGCAACGAAGAGGAAUGACCAAAGAAUGUACUGGUAUCUUUUGGCAGAGAACCCAUGAGUGUGGAAGGGGGUGAAUCUUUUGGAGGUGUUGUGGGCCUAUUUCAAUGAAACACAGAUGAAGGAAGUAGAUGUUAUCAGACUUUCCAGCAACCUUCCCAUCCUAACUGUUGCUGGGUUAAAUGAAUCAUCAGAGAAAGAACAGGAAGAGAACGGAAGAGACACAUAAACUGUAAUCUCUAGGAAGCUGCAGUAAGAAACGUUUGGAAGAACUUCAAGCCAACGAGAUCACCAAGUUUAAUGUCACUCCACACAGCGAGGACGAAGCUUGGGGGGCUGACGCAGACGCAGACAGGGACAUGGACCGCAUAACCUUGGGAGUCGCCAUCUCCUCAAACCCAAACAGAGUCUCCCGUCGCGAGGGC